GAUGAACGCUGGCGGCGUGCCUAAUACAUGCCAGUCGAGCGAACAGAUGAGGAGCUUGCUCCUCUGACGUUAGCGGCGGACGGGUGAGUAACACGUGGAUAACCUACCUAUAAGACUGGGAUAACUUCGGGAAACCGGAGCUAAUACCGGAUAAUAUAUUGAACCGCAUGGUUCAAUAGUGAAAGACGGUUUUGCUGUCACUUAUAGAUGGAUCCGCGCCGCAUUAGCUAGUUGGUAAGGUAACGGCUUACCAAGGCAACGAUGCGUAGCCGACCUGAGAGGGUGAUCGGCCACACUGGAACUGAGACACGGUCCAGACUCCUACGGGAGGCAGCAGUAGGGAAUCGUCCGCAAUGGGCGAAAGCCUGACGGAGCAACGCCGCGUGAGUGAUGAAGGUCUUCGGAUCGUAAAACUCUGUUAUUAGGGAAGAACAAAUGUGUAAGUAACUAUGCACGUCUUGACGGUACCUAAUCAGAAAGCCACGGCUAACUACGUG
rnacentral:rRNA from 1 species